rnacentral:misc_RNA from 1 species
CCCCAGCGAAAUAUGAUAAACCGCCCAAUUUCCCUUUGCCAAAUCCAAAGAUUCCAUGGACCAACACAAUAGGAGGCAGGUCAUCACCAUUGGUGGUGGUUUUUGAUGUCCCUCUGAGGUCUUCUUUCACCACAAUGUUCAUAUUAGGCUUGAAAACCCAUUCGUUCAAAGUUUGUGAGAGGUCACCAGCAACAGCAGAGCUAAAUAUGUAAAAGCCAUAUACC